rfam:Beta vulgaris subsp. vulgaris Bvchr2.sca001.con0351.1, whole genome shotgun sequence.
ACGACCUUACUUGAACAGGAUCUGUUCUAUAGGAUCGUACCUCUGUAUCCUUGAGUUCUAAGGAGACAGGAAACUAAGUCUGGUGGAUGAAUUAUGACCAUGUGAUCAGAGCGUGAUUAACAGCAACCAAUUGUUCUUCGGAUCCUUGGUGCAGUAGAGGAUCGUUCCCCAGCUCCUCUGUGAGUUUCGGAUGAUCUCAUGGUUGUCUGACAGACU